UGCCAGACUCCUACGGGAGGCAGCAGUGGGGGAUAUUGCACAAUGGGGGGAACCCUGAUGCAGCGACGCCGCGUGGGUGAAGAAGUCAUUCGUGACGUAAAGCCCUAUCAGCAGGGAAGAAAAUGACGGUACCUGACUAAGAAGCCCCGGCUAACUACGUGCCAGCAGCCGCGGUAAUACGUAGGGGGCAAGCGCUAUCCGGAUUUACUGGGUGUAAAGGGAGCGUAGACGGCAGCGCAAGUCUGAAGUGAAAUGCCGGGGCUUAACCCCGGAACUGCUUUGGAAACUGAGCAGCUAGAGUGCAGGAGAGGUAAGUGGAAUUCCUAGUGUAGCGGUGAAAUGCGUAGAUAUUAGGAGGAACACCAGUGGCGAAGGCGGCUUACUGGACUGUAACUGACGUUGAGGCUCGAAAGCGUGGGGAGCAAACAGGAUUAGAUACCCCUGUACGG
rnacentral:rRNA from 1 species